rnacentral:rRNA from 1 species
UACGGAGGGUGCGAGCGUUGUCCGGAAUCACUGGGCGUAAAGGGCGCGUAGGCGGCGCGGAUAGUCGGCGGUGAAAGCCCGGAGCUCAACUCCGGGUCGGCCGUCGAUACUUCCGGGCUUGAGCACUGUAGAGGCAGAUGGAAUUCCGGGUGUAGCGGUGGAAUGCGUAGAGAUCCGGAAGAACACCGGUGGCGAAGGCGGUCUGCUGGGCAGUUGCUGACGCUGAGGCGCGAAGGCGUGGGGAGCGAACGGG